UGGGGAAUAUUGGACAAUGGGCGAAAGCCUGAUCCAGCCAUGCCGCGUGUGUGAAGAAGGUCUUCGGAUUGUAAAGCACUUUAAGUUGGGAGGAAGGGCAGUAAGCGAAUACCUUGCUGUUUUGACGUUACCGACAGAAUAAGCACCGGCUAACUCUGUGCCAGCAGCCGCGGUAAUACAGAGGGUGUAAGCGUUAAUCGGAAUUACUGGGCGUAAAGCGUGCGUAGGCGGCUUUUUAAGUCGGAUGUGAAAUCCCCGAGCUUAACUUGGGAAUUGCAUUCGAUACUGGGAAGCUAGAGUAUGGGAGAGGAUGGUAGAAUUCCAGGUGUAGCGGUGAAAUGCGUAGAGAUCUGGAGGAAUACCGAUGGCGAAGGCAGCCAUCUGGCCUAAUACUGACGCUGAGGUACGAAAGCAUGGGGAGCAAACAGG
rnacentral:rRNA from 1 species